rnacentral:rRNA from 1 species
AUUGAACGCUGGCGGCCGGCCUAACACAUGCAAGUCGAACGAGUCGCGGACGGGUGAGUAAUCUCUGGGAAACUCCCUGGUAGAGGGGUAUCACUACUGGAAAGGGUAGCAAAUACCACAUACCCUCAGGUGUGCACAGAUGGGAUUAGCUUGUUGGUGGGGUAACGGCUCACAAAGGCGACGAUCCCUAGCUGGUCUGAGAGGAUGCCCAGCCACACUGGAACUGAGACACGGUCCAGACUCCUACGGGAGGCAGCAGUGGGGAAUAUUGCACAAUGGGCGCAAGCCUGAUGCAGCCAUGCCGCGUGUAUGAAGAAGGCCUUCGGGUUGUAAAGUACUUUCAGCGGGGAGGCGUUACCCGCAGAAGAAGCACCGGCUAACGCCGUGCCAGCAGCCGCGGUAAUUC